CCAAUUCAGAGCCCACUUCCCAGGGGGAUAGUUUUUUCUUUUUUUUUUGAAGUUUAAGUGUCCUUAACCAACGCUCUGCCGGUUUGUUAAUCAAAAAGCCGGUUCACACCGCACGUAAUCGAGAAGUAAUAUCGAAGUAAGUAAAGGCAGAGCGAGCCGGGGAUGCUGAGCGAAGGCGUUCGGCUGCAGAGGGGGCAGACCCGGCUGAGGCUCCAGCCGCUCAUGCCCAGCUCCCAGCACAGCCCACAGCCGUUCCUUCCUCCUGAAGGAGCUCGAAAUAGUCUCACUGCAAAGAGAAACUUCGCGUCUUGCCCACUCGCACGGUCCUUUCCCAAGGUUUUCUCACAUGGAAACGCUGCAAGUUGAUAUGAGGGUGGCCUGAUCCUGAUGCAGACCUGCCUGGUUAAAGCCACAGGAGAAGCAGUCCUGCCUCCAGCUCCUCCAUGGGUUUCCUUUGUCCACCAAAUCCUAUUGUGAUGAAGACAAACCCCUCGGAGAUAACCCCGUGUUCCCAUCACUGUGAGGAUCUGUAGGGCCAGAUCCUGCUGCCAGGGACAAACCCUGCCAUGAGAAAGGGGUUGUGCAGGGAGAGACCUGCCUGUGAUCCCCAGGCACCCAGCUCUGACUGGGAGGGGGGGUGAGCAGCCACCAAGGGGGGCUUUGGGGCACAGGCCCUGCAGGACCUGAGCCUUCUGCUGAGACCUUCUGCCGUGGUGGCUUUAUGGGGAUGUGGUGGCAUGGGCUGAGGGGAUGAUUCACUGCCUUAUUUAUUUUGGUGUGUUUGCUUUUUCCCUGGCGGAGGAUGAGUAACGGGGACUGUGUUUUCUUGCCCACCACGUGGAAGGAGGAAAACUGAGGGAAUAGGAGCAAAGAUGUUCUGGCUGAGGAAUUUUGGCUAAUACAUUUUAGAGGCUGGUGAAGACAGAGGUUUAACACCUCUAAAUACACUUCAGCAGCUCUAAGGCUUUUCCUUCGUAUCUUUCAUAGCCAGAACUUUUGACUGUUUUCCCUAAAGUGUGGAACCCUUCCUACAUCAGGGAUUAAACAUCCCCAUGUAGAGGAUCCAGAUGAGAUGUGCCCACUUGCAGCCAAGCCUGGGGAGAGCAUCCCUCCCUCC
rnacentral:lncRNA from 1 species